CAGUUUUUUCAUUACCAGUUGCCUCAGGGUAGUGAUCAAAAGUGACUAGGAUGCUACAUGGGUGUAUUUCACACUAUCUUUUGAUUUUUUUAUUUUUUUUUUCCAGUACUCAGUAGUACAGCUGUUAAGGGAGAAAAUAUACAAACUUUAUAUCUACUCUGAAGAUAAGGAUAACAGAUAAUAUUUCCAAAAGAAAAUUUGUCAUCCUUGAAUAAGCAGAAUGAGGAAAAAGUAAGUAAAUGGAGAAUAGUGCAUUUACGGAGAAGAACCAAAUUAAUCAUUUAAGAUAAGGAAGUUUAAGCUGCUAGGCAUGUGAAGCCCUUUACCAAUCAUCAGGCAAGGCAGGCUUUUAACGUGCAUCUUUCUGGACUUAGUAAACUUGUAGGUAAGAGAAACCAUACGUUGAAGGUAAAAGGAAUGCAACUGUGGUAG
rnacentral:lncRNA from 1 species